rnacentral:rRNA from 1 species
UACGGGGGGGGCAAGCGUUGUUCGGAAUUACUGGGCGUAAAGGGCUCGUAGGCGGCCAACUAAGUCAGACGUGAAAUCCCUCGGCUUAACCGGGGAACUGCGUCUGAUACUGGUUGGCUUGAAUCCGGGAGAGGGAUGUGGAAUUCCAGGUGUAGCGGUGAAAUGCGCAGAUAUCAGGAGGAACACCGAUGGCGAAGGCAGGUCUCUGGGCCACUACUGACGCUGAGAAGCGAAAGCGUGGGGAGCGAACAGG